rnacentral:rRNA from 1 species
UACGGAGGGUGCAAGCGUUUACCCCGGAAUCACUGGGCGUAAAGGGCGUGUAGGCGGAUCACUCAGUCUGGUUUUAAAGACCGGGGCUCAACCCCGGGCAUGGACUGGAUACUGGUGAUCUUGACCUCUGGAGAGGUAGCUGGAAUUCCUGGUGUAGCGGUGGAAUGCGUAGAUACCAGGAGGAACACCAAUGGCGAAGGCAGGCUGACUGGACAGAAGGUGA